rnacentral:rRNA from 1 species
UGGGGAAUAUUGGACAAUGGACCAAAAGUCUGAUCCAGCAAUUCUGUGUGCACGAUGACGUUUUUCGGAAUGUAAAGUGCUUUCAGUUGGGAAGAAAAAAAUGACGGUACCAACAGAAGAAGUGACGGCUAAAUACGUGCCAGCAGCCGCGGUAAUACGUAUGUCACAAGCGUUAUCCGGAUUUAUUGGGCGUAAAGCGCGUCUAGGUGGUUAUGUAAGUCUGAUGUGAAAAUGCAGGGCUCAACUCUGUAUUGCGUUGGAAACUGCAUGACUAGAGUACUGGAGAGGUAAGCGGAACUACAAGUGUAGAGGUGAAAUUCGUAGAUAUUUGUAGGAAUGCCGAUGGGGAAGCCAGCUUACUGGACAGAUACUGACGCUAAAGCGCGAAAGCGUGGGUAGCAAACAGGAUUAGAUACCCUGGUAGUCCACGCCGUAACGAUGAUUACUAGGUGUUGGGGGUCGAACCUCAGCGCCCAAGCUAACGCGAUAAGUAAUCCGCCUGGGGAGUACGUACGCAAGUAUG